rnacentral:rRNA from 1 species
UACGUAGGGUGCAAGCGUUAAUCGGAAUUACUGGGCGUAAAGCGUGCGCAGGCGGUGAUGUAAGACAGGUGUGAAAUCCCCGGGCUUAACCUGGGAACUGCAGUUGUGACUGCAUCGCUGGAGUGCGGCAGAGGGGGAUGGAAUUCCGCGUGUAGCAGUGAAAUGCGUAGAUAUGCGGAGGAACGCCGAUGGCGAAGGCAAUCCCCUGGGCCUGCACUGACGCUGAGGCGCGAAAGCGUGGGGAGCAAACAGG